AGCGAACGUUAGCGGCGGGCCUAACACAUGCAAGUCGAGCGAGAAAGUGGCUUCGGCCAUCAGUAAAGCGGCGGACGGGUGAGUAACACGUAGGUAAUCUUCCCUUGAGCGGGGGACCACAAGCCGAAAGGCUUGCUAAUACCGCAUAAGUUCCUCGGGACUCCGGUCCUGGGGAGGAAAGCUAGGCAGCAAUGUCCGGCACUCGAGGAGGAGCCUGCGUCGCAUCAGCUAGUUGGUGGGGUAACGGCCUACCAAGGCGAAGACGCGUAGCUGGUCUGAGAGGAUGAUCAGCCACACUGGGACUGAGACACGGCCCAGACUCCUACGGGAGGCAGCAGUGGGGAAUAUUGGACAAUGGGCGCAAGCCUGAUCCAGCCACGCCGCGUGAGUGAUGAAGGCCUUCGGGUCGUAAAGCUCUGUGGGGAGGGACGAACCGCCGUUGGUGCAUAGCCAACGGCAUGACGGUACCUCCUUAGCAAGCACCGGCUAACUCUGUGCCAGCAGCCGCCGUAAGAC
rnacentral:rRNA from 1 species